rnacentral:lncRNA from 1 species
GGAAUGACCAGUAGGUAUUAACUAGGGAAUGACCAGUAGGUAUUAACUAGGGAAUGACCAGUAGGUAUUAACUAGGGAACCUUUACCCAGUAGGUAUUAACUAGGGAAUGACCAGUAGGUAUUAACUAGGGAAUGACCAGUAGGUAUUAACUAGGGAACCUUUACCCAGUAGGUAUUAACUAGGGAAUGACCAGUAGGUAUUAACUAGGGAAUGACCAGUAGGUAUUAACUAGGGAAUGACCAGUAGGUAUUAACUAAGGAAUGACCAGUAGGUAUUAACUAGGGAAUGACUAGUAUGUAUGACAGGAAUAUGUUUCUACAGACACUGCCUUCUUUGUCAGCUGAGACUAAGAACAGCUAAGACUGCAGUAACAUGUUGAAUAGCUAAGGCUGCAGUAACAUGUUGAACAGCUAAGACUGCAGUAACAUGUUGAUCAACUA